rnacentral:rRNA from 1 species
AUUGAACGCUGGCGGCAGGCCUAACACAUGCAAGUCGAACGAGUGGCGGACGGGUGAGUAAUGUCUGGGAAACUGCCCGAUGGAGGGGGAUAACUACUGGAAACGGUAGCUAAUACCGCAUACCAUCGGAUGUGCCCAGCUGGGCUUCGCUAGUAGGUGGGGUAACGGCUCCACAAGGCGACGAUCCCUAGCUGGUCUGAGAGGAUGACCAGCCACACUGGAACUGAGACACGGUCCAGACUCCUACGGGAGGCAGCAGUGGGGAAGAUUGCACAAUGGGCGCAAGCCUGAUGCAGCCAUGCCGCGUGUAUGAAGAAGGCCUUCGGGUUGUAAAGUACUUUCAGCGAGGAGGCGUUACUCGCAGAAGAAGCACCGGCUAACUCCGUGCCAGCAGCCGCGGUAAUUC